ACGUCAGGAAUUGUGAAAAACUGAGUUUAAAUGUAUUUGGCUAGGGUGUAUGUAAACUUCCGACUUCAACUGUAGAGAGCUUUAGUUAUUAUUUGACCAAACAUUAGAACGAGCAAGAUGAGUGUAUGUAUGCAGGCACUUGUAAUUGCUUUUCCAAUACUGCCAAUUCAUUGCUGAUGAUUGAUUUCACAUUGUGGUACGAGUAUAUAGUGAAUUGAGUAGUAUCCACCUACAACAACAUAGCGAUAACAUGGAGCCGGCAGGUGAUCCAGGUCACAAUAGAGGUCAAGCAGUUGAUAUCAGGAAUCAAGGUAAGACCCAGAUGCAGACUGUGUCGAAGUAACUAUGUUUAUUACAGCAACAGGGGAAAAGGUACAGGACGGCUGGCAGGCUCAUGGUCAGGCCAGGCAGAGGUCAGUAAUCCAGAGCUGGGGCAAAGGUACAGGACGGCAGGCAGGCUCAGGGUCAGGGGCAGGCAGAGUGGUCAGGAGGGCGGAUACAGGGUCUGAACAGGCAAGAGUCAAAAACCAGGAGGAUGAGAAAAGAGAGACUGGGGGAAAGCAGGAGCUGAAUUCAAAAACGCUGGUUGACUUCACAAACAAGAUGAACUGGCAACAGACAAACAGAUAACACAGGUAUAAAUACACUGGGGAUAAUGGGGAAGAUGGGCGACACCUGGAGGGGGGUGGAGACAAUCACAAAGACAGGUGAAACAGAUCAGGGUGUGACAGCGGGAUGAGGAAGAGGAGGAAGACUUGGUUGUCAAAGAAAUGACAGGGGACAAGCAACCCUUCUGAGAGGUGGUCGUGGGCCUCGUUUGAGAGGUGUGGGGGAACGUGGUAGAGGACAAGGCCACGGACCAAGACAGCGGCACAAACAGCAAAGAGUGUCCAAUGAAAUAUGAGCAAUAGUUGUUAACCAUGUCGUAAAUCAUGGCAUGACAAUGACUGAGGCAGCUACAAUGAUUCAACCAAACCUCAGAAAAUCAACCUUGGCCUCAAUCAUCAGAACUUUCCGCAAUGAGAACCGAGGGUGAUGGAGCUGGAUGCUGAUGAAAAACCAUCACAAAUUCCUCUUUUUUGGAUGAGGCAGGUUUCAACCUGGCAAGACAAGGAAGAGAGGUCGGAAUUUCAUUGGCCAGCGGCCAACCAUCCAAGUACCCGGACAACGUGGGGCCAACAUCACCAUGUCAUAUUCAGCUCUCCUUGUAACCUUCCUUGAUGAGCUAAAUCAGGUCUGUAGAGUUGAUGGUGUGACCUAUGUCAUUGUGUGGGAUAAUGUCAGGUUCCACCAUGCUCAAACGGUGCAAGCAUGGUUUCAGGCCCAUCCACAAUUUACCACCCUGUACUUACCCCCAUACUCUCCUUUCUUUAACCCGAUUGAGGAAUUCUUCUCCACAUGGAGGUGGAAGGUAUAUGAUAGGCGCCCUCACGAACAAGCCACCCUUCUCCAGGCCAUGGAUGCCGCAUGCAAUGACACCACGGCAGAUCAGUGCCAGGUCUGGAUUCGCCCGAAGAUUCUUUCCAAGAUGUUUGGCUAAUGAAAACAUCCAUUGUGAUGUGGAUGAGAACCUGUGGCCAAAUCCACAAGACAGGGUUGAUGGAAAUAUAGAAGUACUGUAAGCCAGAUGACUAUAGGAACAUAGUAAACCAUCUCUACAACACCAGUCUCCAGAUGCCUAGAGGAACAUAGUAAACCAUCUCUACAACACCAGUCUCCAGAUGACUAGAGGAACAUAGUAAACCAUCUCUACAACACCAGUCUCCAGAUGACUAUAGGAACAUAGUAAACCAUCUCUACAACACCAGUCUCCAGAUGACUAGAGGAACAUAGUAAACCAUCUCUACAACACCAGUCUCCAGAUGACUAGAGGAACAUAGUAAACCAUCUCUACAACACCAGUCUCCAGAUGACUAGAGGAACAUAGUAAACCAUCUCUACAACACCAGUCUCCAGAUGACUAGAGGAACAUAGUAAACCAUCUCUACAACACCAGUCUCCAGAUGACUAUAGGAACAUAGUAAACCAUCUCUACAACACCAGUCUCCAGAUGCCUAGAGGAACAUAGUAAACCAUCUCUACAACACCAGUCUCCAGAUGACUAGAGGAACAUAGUAAACCAUCUCUACAACACCAGUCUCCAGAUGACUAGAGGAACAUAGUAAACCAUCUCUACAACACCAGUCUCCAGAUGACUAGAGGAACAUAGUAAACCAUCUCUACAACACCAGUCUCCAGAUGACAGAGGAACAUAGUAAACCAUCUCUACAACACCAGUCUCCAGAUGACUAGAGGAACAUAGUAAACCAUCUCUACAACACCAGUCUCCAGAUGACUAGAGGAACAUAGUAAACUAUCUCUACAACACCAGCAUACAGAGGCAGACACACAGACAGAACGUGUUGGAUGAAUUAUUGAGUGUGUUUACCGAAAUGGAGGCUCUGUCUAUAAUCUGUUAUUGAAAUGCCCUGGGCAAGGGUCUCUCUCUCGCUCUCUCUCUAUGCCUUUUUCAAUCAAUUAAUCACAUUUAUUUAAAAAGCCCUUUUUACAUCAGUAGAUGUCGCAACGUGCUAUACAAAAACCCAGCCUAAAACCCCAAACAACAAGCAAUGCAGAUGUAGAAGCACGGUGGCUAGGAAAAACUCCCUAGAAAGGCAUGAACCUAGGAAGAAACCUAGAAAGGAACCAAGCUCUGAGGAGUGGUCAGUCCUCUUCUGGCUGUCCUGUUGAAGAUUAUAACAGUACAUGGUCAUUAAGUCCAGAUCAUUCUUCAAGAUGUUCAAACGUUCAUAGAUGACCAGCAGGGUCAGAUAAUAAUAAUCACAGUGGUUGUAGAGGGUGCAACAGGGCAGCACCUCAGGAGUAAAUGUCAGUUGGCUUUUCACAGCGGAACAUUCAGAGGUCGAGACAGCAGGUGUGGUAGAGAGAGUCGAAAACAACCUGUCCGGUGAACAGGUCAGGGUUCCAUAGCCGCAGGCAGAACAGUUGAAACUGGAGCAGCAGCACGACCAGGUGGACUGGGGACAGCCAGGAGUAAUCAGGCAAGGUAAUCCUGAUGCAUGGUCCUAGGGCUCACCUAAAGAAUUUCUCAACUAUGGAUCAAACUGUCUUCUCCUACAGAAUGUCUCAACGUCAGAGCAACCCACUGGGCACAGGUGUCAAUUCAACAUCUAUUCCACGUUGCUUCAGCGUAAUUUCAUUGAAAUGACAUAGAAACAACAUUGAUUCAACCAGGAUUUGCCCAGGUUUGCCCAGUGGGAAAGUACAUUUUCUACCAUACAUCAGGUUAAUGAAGUACUGGAUCACCUUGUUUUAAGACCUGUGCAUUUCUUACAGGUUGUAAACUUGCAAAAAACGUUUCAGGGAGUGCAGAGUAUAAGGCCAAACACACACACACACUCACACACACACACACACACAUACACAUACAAACCUACCAGCAGGGCUAAUCAAUUCUGAUUGGAACAGGCUUGGCUGCACCUCCCACACGGUGUGGCUACAGCCAAUGUUGCACCACCUCCAUCUAAACUGUGUGAAAGAGAGAGACACAGUGUGAGGGUGUGGGUGUGAGAGAGAGAGAUAGAUUCUGUCAGACCUGGGCCCUGACAGUAAAUCUCAGUAAGACAAAAAUAAUGUUGUUCCAAAAAAGGUCCAGUUGCCAGGACAACAAAUAGAAAUUCCAUCUAGACACCGUCGUCCUAGAGCACACAAAAAACCUAUACAUACCUCGGCCUAAACAUCAGCGCCACAGGUAACUUCCACAAAGCUGUGACGGAGCGACAAGACGAGAAGGGCCUCAUUUGCCAUCAAAAGUAACACAAAAUGUAACAUCCCAAUUAGGAUCUGACUAAAAACACUUGAAUCAGUUAUAGAACCCAUUGACCUCUUUGGUUGUGAAGUCUGGGGUCCUCUCACCAACCAAUAAUUCACAAAAUGGGACAAACACCAAAUUGAGACUCUGCAUGCAGAAUUCUGCAAAACUGUCCUCCGUGUACAACGUUAAACACCAAAUAAUGCAUGCAGAGCAGAAUUAGGCCGACACCCGCUAAUUAUCAAAAUCAAGAGCCGUUAAAUUCUACAACCACCUAACAGGAAGUAAUUCCCUAACCUUCCAUAACAAAGCCAUCACCUACAGAGAGAUGAACCUGGAGAAGAGUUCCCUAAGCAAGCUGGUCCUGAGGCUCUGUUCACAAACACAAACAGACCCCACAGAGCCCCAGGACAGCAACACAAUUAGACCCAACCAAAUAAUGAGAAAACAAAAAGAUAAUUACUUGACACAUUGGAAAGAAAUAACAAAAAAACAGAGCAGACUAGAAUGCUAUUUGGCCCUAAACAGAGAGUACACAGUGGCAGAAUACCUGACCACUGUCACUGACUCAAAAUUAAGGAAAGCUUUGACUAUGUACAGACUCAGUGAGCAUAGCCUUGCUAUUGAAACAGGCCGCCGUAGGCAGAUCUGGCUCUCAAGAGAAGACAGGCUAUGGGCACACUGCCCACAAAAUUAGGUGGAAACUGAGCUGUACCUCCUAACCUCCUGCCAAAUGUAUGACCACAUUAGAGACACAUAUUUCCCUCAGAUUACACAGACCCACAAAGAAUUUGAAAAUAAAUCCAAUUUUGAAAAACUCCCAUAUCUAUUGGGUGAAAUAUCACAAUGUACCAUCACAGCAGCAAGAUUUGUGACCUGUUGACACAAGAAAAGGGAAAGAUGAAUGGAGCAAAGUACAGAGGGAUACUUGAUGAAAACCUGCUCCAGAGCACUCAGGAACUCAGACUGGGGCGAAGGUUCACCUUCCAACAGGACAAUGACCCUAAGCACACAGCCAAGACAAUGCAGGAGUGGCUUCGGGAUAAGUCUCUGAAUGUCCUUGAGUGGCCCAGCCAGAGCCUGGACUUGAACCCGAUCUAACAACUCUGGAGAGACCUGAAAAUAGCUGUGCAGCGACGCUCCCCAUCCAACCUGAUAGAGCUUGAGGGGAUCUGCAGAGAAGAAUGGGAGAAACACAGGUGUGCCAAGCUUGUAGCAUCAUACCCAAUAAGACUCGAGGAUGUAAUCACUGCCAAAGUGCUUCAACGAAGUUCUGAGUAAAGGGUCUGAAUACCUUUUUUUUUUGCAAAAAUGUCCAAAAACCUGUUCUUGUUUGUCAUUUUUACCUGCCG
rnacentral:lncRNA from 1 species